GUUGUUGCGGUUAAAAGCUCGUAGUUGGAUUUCUGUUGAGGUCGGGCGGUGUACACUUCGUGUAUUAUUUGCUUCGGUCUCGGCAUCCUCUUGGGGAACGUCAGGUCUUCAUUGGACUGGCGAGAUUCAAGACUUUACUGUGAAAAAAUUAGAGUGUUUAAAGCAGGCAUUUUGCUGUGAAUACAUUAGCAUGGAAUAAUAACAUAGGACCCUGGUUCUAUUUUGUUGGUUGGAGGCCAAGGUAAUGAUUAAUAGGGACAGUUGGGGGUAUUCAUAUUUAAUUGUCAGAGGUGAAAUUCUUGGAUUUAUGAAAGAUGAACUCAUGCGUAAGCAUUUACCAAGGAUGUUUUCAUUAAUCAAGAACGAAAGUUAGGGGAUCGAAGAGGAUUAGAUACCCUCGUAGUCUUAACCAUAAACUAUGCCGACUAGGGAUUGGCGGACGUACUUUUUAUGGCUCCGUCAGCACCUUACGAGAAAUCAAAGUCUUUGGGUUCCGGGGGGAGUAUGGU
rnacentral:rRNA from 1 species